rnacentral:pre_miRNA from 1 species
UAAUUUGUCUGAGAUCUAUCUAAUUUUAAUAAACUCACACCUAACUAGCGAGAAAUACAUAUUAUCACAAGUACAAUUGCAUUCAACUGUAUCACUAAUUCUAUUAAACA